rnacentral:rRNA from 1 species
UACAGAGGGGGCAAGCGUUGUUCGGAAUUACUGGGCGUAAAGGGCGCGUAGGCGGCCUUCUAAGUCGAACGUGAAAUCCCUGGGCUCAACCCAGGAACUGCGUCCGAUACUGAAAGGCUUGAAUCCGGGAGAGGGAUGUGGAAUUCCAGGUGUAGCGGUGAAAUGCGUAGAUAUCUGGAGGAACACCGGUGGCGAAGGCGGCAUCCUGGACCGGUAUUGACGCUGAGGCGCGAAAGCCAGGGGAGCAAACGGG